rnacentral:rRNA from 1 species
AACGAACGCUGGCGGCAGGCCUAACACAUGCAAGUCGAGCGAGGACUUCGGUUCUAGCGGCGGACGGGUGAGUAACGCGUGGGAAUGUGCCCUUCUCUACGGAAUAGCCCUGGGAAACUGGGAGUAAUACCGUAUACGCCCUAUUGGGGAAAGAUUUAUCGGAGAAGGAUCAGCCCGCGUUGGAUUAGGUAGUUGGUGGGGUAAUGGCCUACCAAGCCGACGAUCCAUAGCUGGUUUGAGAGGAUGAUCAGCCACACUGGGACUGAGACACGGCCCAGACUCCUACGGGAAGCAGCAGUGGGGGAUCUUAGACAAUGGGGGCAACCCUGAUCUUGCCAUGCCGCGUGAGUGAUGAAGGCCUUAGGGUUGUAAAGCUCUUUCAGCUGGGAAGAUAAUGACGGUACCAGCAGAAGAAGCCCCGGCUAACUCCGUG